GAGGAGGAGGUGGAGGCCAAACCAAGAGUGAAAAUGAUGUUGCUCACUAUUAACUCCCUCACAGACAGUGCUAUGUGAUCUGGUGCCUUGUCAUCAUGGAAGAGCUAUGACUUUUUGGCUACAAAUUCAGACCUUUUCUGUUGAAUUUUUUUAUCUAGCCUUUUUAAUACUUCCCAAACUCAACUUGUUUGCAGGUUAAAGAAUGCUACAUUGUCAGAUAUUUGUUGAAGUGCAUUCAAGAUAGGAACUCUUCAUCUGGCCUACAAAGUUUCUGCUGGGAAAUCAGCUCCCAAGUAGCUAGGGCUACAGCUGUGGACAAGUGCCAGACAGAAUCUUGGCAGGAUUCUGUGGUGGAAUAUCUCUGCACAUUGUUACAUCCAUCGGCUUGUCUUUAGGGGGCUGGUCCACCUGAACUAAAAG